rnacentral:rRNA from 1 species
GGGGGGGGGGGGGGGGGGGGGGGGGGGGUGGGGGUCGGGGGGGGGGGGGCUGCUUGUGUGGGGUGCUCGGGUGGGGAACGGGUGGGUGAGAGGUGGGUGACCUGCCCUUGACUUUGGGAUAACUUCAGGAAACUGGGGCUAAUACCGGAUAGGAGCUCCUGCUGCAUGGUGGGGGUUGGAAGGUUUCGGCGGUUGGGGAUGGACUCGCGGCUUAUCAGCUUGUUGGUGGGGUAGUGGCUUACCAAGGCUUUGACGGGUAGCCGGCCUGAGAGGGUGACCGGCCACAUUGGGACUGAGAUACGGCCCAGACUCCUACGGGAGGCAGCAGUGGGGAAUAUUGCACAAUGGGCGGAAGCCUGAUGCAGCAACGCCGCGUGCGGGAUGACGGCCUUCGGGUUGUAAACCGCUUUCGCCUGUGACGAAGCGUGAGUGACGGUAAUGGGUAAAGAAGCACCGGCUAACUACGUG